AUUGAACGCUGGCGGCAGGCCUAAGACAUGCAAGUCGAGCGAGAAAGCCCUUCGGGGUGAGUACAGCGGCGGACGGGUGAGUAACGCGUAGGAAUCUACCCAGUAGUGGGGGACAACUAGUGGAAACGCUAGCUAAUACCGCAUACGCCCUAAGGGGGAAAGCGGGGGAUCUUCGGACCUCGUGCUAUUGGAUGAGCCUGCGUAAGAUUAGCUUGUUGGUGAGGUAAUGGCUCACCAAGGCUACGAUCUUUAGCUGGUCUGAGAGGAUGAUCAGCCACACCGGGACUGAGACACGGCCCGGACUCCUACGGGAGGCAGCAGUCGGGAAUAUUGCGCAAUGGGGGAAACCCUGACGCAGCCAUGCCGCGUGUGUGAAGAAGGCCCUAGGGUUGUAAAGCACUUUCAAUUGGGAGGAAAAGCUAAUGGUUAAUAGCCAUUAGCCCUGACGUUACCUUUAGAAGAAGCACCGGCUAACUCCGUGCCAGCAGCCGCGGUAAUACGGAGGGUGCAAGCGUUAAUCGGAAUUACUGGGCGUAAAGCGCGCGUAGGCGGCUCUUUAAGUCGGAUGUGAAAGCCCCGGGCUCAACCUGGGAACUGCAUCCGAUACUGGAGGGCUAGAGUGUAGGAGAGGGAGGUAGAAUUCCAUGUGUAGCAGUGAAAUGCGUAGAUAUAUGGAGGAAUACCAGUGGCGAAGGCGGCCUCCUGGCUUAACACUGACGCUGAGGUGCGAAAGCGUGGGGAGCAAACGGGAUUAGAUACCCCGGUAGUCCACGCCGUAAACGAUGUCUACUAGCUGUAGGGGUACUUGAGACCUUUGUAGCGCAGCUAACGCACUAAGUAGACCGCCUGGGGAGUACGGCCGCAAGGUUAAAACUCAAAUGAAUUGACGGGGGCCCGCACAAGCAGUGGAGCAUGUGGUUUAAUUCGAUGCAACGCGAAGAACCUUACCAGGCCUUGACAUCCCCGGAACUUUCUAGAGAUAGAUUGGUGCCUUCGGGAACCGGGUGACAGGUGCUGCAUGGCUGUCGUCAGCUCGUGUCGUGAGAUGUUGGGUUAAGUCCCGUAACGAGCGCAACCCUUGUCCUUAGUUGCCAGCACGUAAUGGUGGGAACUCUAAGGAGACUGCCGGUGACAAACCGGAGGAAGGUGGGGACGACGUCAAGUCAUCAUGGCCCUUACGGCCUGGGCUACACACGUGCUACAAUGGCUAGGACAGACGGCUGCAAACCAGCGAUGGGGAGCUAAUCCGACAAACCUAGUCGUAGUCCGGAUUGGAGUCUGCAACUCGACUCCAUGAAGUCGGAAUUGCUAGUAAUCGCGAAUCAGAAUGUCGCGGUGAAUACGUUCCCGGGCCU
rnacentral:rRNA from 1 species